AGAGUUUGAUCAUGGCUCAGGAUGAACGCUGGCGGCGUGCCUAACACAUGCAAGUCGAGCGAGAAACUUAUGACAGAAGCUUCGGUUGAAGUCAUGGGUGGAAAGCGGCGGACGGGUGAGUAACGCGUAGGCAACCUGCCCUUUGCAGAGGGAUAGCCUCGGGAAACCGGGAUUAAAACCUCAUGAUGCCGUGUGAAGACAUCUUCAUAUGGUCAAAGAUUUAUCGGCAAAGGAUGGGCCUGCGUCUGAUUAGCUGGUUGGUGGGGUAACGGCUCACCAAGGCGACGAUCAGUAGCCGACCUGAGAGGGUGAUCGGCCACAUUGGAACUGAGACACGGUCCAAACUCCUACGGGAGGCAGCAGUGGGGAAUAUUGCACAAUGGGGGAAACCCUGAUGCAGCAACGCCGCGUGAAGGAAGAAGGCCUUUGGGUCGUAAACUUCUGUUCUGAGGGAAGAAAGUGACGGUACCUCAGGAGCAAGUCCCGGCUAACUACGUGCCAGCAGCCGCGGUAAUACGUAGGGGGCAAGCGUUAUCCGGAAUUAUUGGGCGUAAAGAGUACGUAGGUGGUUACCUAAGCACGGGGUAUAAGGCAAUGGCUCAACCAUUGUUUGCCUUGUGAACUGGGCUACUUGAGUGCAGGAGAGGAAAGCGGAAUUCCUAGUGUAGCGGUGAAAUGCGUAGAUAUUAGGAGGAACACCAGUGGCGAAGGCGGCUUUCUGGACUGUAACUGACACUGAGGUACGAAAGCGUGGGGAGCAAACAGGAUUAGAUACCCUGGUAGUCCACGCCGUAAACGAUGAGCACUAGGUGUCGGGGUCGUAAGACUUCGGUGCCGCAGUUAACGCAAUAAGUGCUCCGCCUGGGGAGUACGUUCGCAAGAAUGAAACUCAAAGGAAUUGACGGGGGCCCGCACAAGCAGUGGAGUAUGUGGUUUAAUUCGAAGCAACGCGAAGAACCUUACCUGGGCUUGACAUCCCUGGAAUCGAGUAGAGAUACUUGAGUGCCUUCGGGAAUCAGGUGACAGGUGGUGCAUGGUUGUCGUCAGCUCGUGUCGUGAGAUGUUGGGUUAAGUCCCGCAACGAGCGCAACCCCUAUUGUCAGUUGCCAUCAUUAAGUUGGGCACUCUGGCGAGACUGCCGGUGACAAAUCGGAGGAAGGUGGGGACGACGUCAAAUCAUCAUGCCCCUUAUGCCCAGGGCUACACACGUACUACAAUGGCCGAUAACAAAGUGCAGCGAAACCGUGAGGUGGAGCGAAUCACAAAACUCGGUCUCAGUUCAGAUUGCAGGCUGCAACUCGCCUGCAUGAAGUUGGAAUUGCUAGUAAUCGCGGAUCAGAAUGCCGCGGUGAAUACGUUCCCGGGCCUUGUACACACCGCCCGUCACACCAUGAGAGUCGAUAACACCCGAAGCCUGUGAGCUAACCUUUUAGGAGGCAGCAGUCGAAGGUGGGGUUGAUGAUUGGGGUGAAGUC
rnacentral:rRNA from 1 species